rnacentral:rRNA from 1 species
GACGAACGCUGGCGGCGUGCUUAACACAUGCAAGUCGAACGGAAAGGCCCUGCUUUUGUGGGGUGCUCGAGUGGCGAACGGGUGAGUAACACGUGAGUAACCUGCCCUUGACUUUGGGAUAACUUCAGGAAACUGGGGCUAAUACCGGAUAGGAGCUCCUGCUGCAUGGUGGGGGUUGGAAAGUUUCGGCGGUUGGGGAUGGACUCGCGGCUUAUGAGCUUGUUGGUGGGGUAGUGGCUUACCAAGGCUUUGACGGGUAGCCGGCCUGAGAGGGUGACCAGGGACAAGGGGACUGAGAUACGGAGCAGACUGCUACGGGAGGCAGUAGGGGGGAAUAUUGCACAAUGGGCGGAAGCCUGAGGAAGAAACGCCGGGUGCGGGAUGAAGGCCUUCGGGUUGUAAACCGCUUUAGCCUGAGACGAAGCGUGAGUGACGGUAAUGGGUAAAGAAGCACCGGCUAACUACGUG